ACCGGCAGCUCAAGUGGUGGCCAUUAUUAUUGGGCCUAAAGCGUUCGUAGCCGGUUUGAUAAGUCUCUGGUGAAAUCCCGCAGCUUAACUGUGGGACUUGCUGGAGAUACUAUCAGACUUGAGGUCGGGAGAGGUUAGGGGUACUCCCAGGGGACGGGUGAAAUCAUAUAAUCCUGGGAGGACUAACUGUGGCGAAGGCGCCUAACUGGAACGAACCUGCAGGUGAGUAACGAAAGUCAGGGGUGCGAAACG
rnacentral:rRNA from 1 species